ACAAACAAGCACAGGGCAGCAGUAGGAUUUCAUAACUAGCAUCUCACAGGGCUCCUCUCUCUGCCCUGACAGGAGACAACAUGGAAUACUUGUCUACAGCUGCACUUCAGUAUCAAACUCAGCUCUAUCAUGCCUCAGCAGAGUUGUGUCUUCUCUAUCCAGGAACAAAUUCGGCCAAGACUCUUCACUGAGAGUAGCACACAGAUAGCCCUGAGCAAAAUUCAGUCCUGUCAGAAUGUCUGUUUUCCAUCUCCAUUAAAAAAUCAUGUCCCAGUGUAUAAUCACGCAACUGGCAGAAGGUGGAUCUGCUUUAGCAUGCAACUCAUCAGAGACCCACUCCUUCUGUCCUGACCUCUUUUACUUACAGCAAAGACCAGAUCUCUCAGCUCACCACUGGCAUACCUGGGGCUUGUGCAGGAGCAGGACACCAUCACCAAGAGCCUUCAGUGUUAUAUGGACUAAAGAAUAAAGUGGUACCUGGGCCUUGCUGCCCUUACAGACAUCACCAGGAAAGGGGGUAGAUCCUAAGAGAAGAAAUUGCUGUAGAGACAUUUUUGGUGAUUUCUCUGCUUUGGGGAAGCCCACAGGCUUUAAGACAAAUUAUAUUCCAUGAGAAAAGUUAAAUAGAGAGAAAAUACUUGAGAGCUGUCACAAACUAGAUUAAGUCUUUGUGUGCAACAAAGAUUGCUUGUAGUGGUGGAUAAAAACAAGUGGAUGAGCUCACCUGUUCAGUGUCUCUCAAAGGAGAGCACGUUCAAUAUUGUUUAAAUCAGGUUUGGAACAGCACUGUUUACCUUCAGCUAUGCCCUUGGGAAGGAAAAGCUGGGGUUACCCACACAGCUCUGGACAGAAGACAAUAACCCAAUAACCCAGCUGUCCUUUGAUACUUCACCUGGGCACCUCCUCAUCCAUCACUAUCACCAUGUUGGAUGGGAAGAAUAAAAACAAAUGGCAAAACAGAGAAGCUGCUCCAAAACUGUAAUUUUCUUCCUCCAACUGGAAAUACUUUAUCCGAUUAUGACUUCCUUACAAAGACAAGGCUCAAAAAUAUUAAGAUAACUCCAGUUUUUUAAAUUCUAAGAGUGACUGGAAAAUGCACGUAGGUCUGGUUGAGAAAAUUACUCCCCUGCUUGCUCAACUUGACGUGUGUCUCGAGGACUGGCCCUGGAUGAAAGCACAUGCUUAAAAAACACAUCUGUAUAACUUGCACAUCUGUAUAGCUUGCUACCAUGGUGUUUUAAAGUUGAAAGGGUCCUUUUAUGAACUCAUAAAGUAGAUAUGACUCUGGUUUCCAACAGUAUCACUAAGUGUAAUUCCUGUCAGAUAUUUAUGUCUGGUGAAUACACAUGCAGCAAAUAACCUAAAAUUGCAAACUAUACACCAUGAGUAGCAGUUUCAGUGUUCACUCACUAAUAAAAUUCCUGUGCUUCAUUUAUGUUUCUGGUCCAACAUAUCUCCCUUGUAGUAACUCAGGGCAGAGAUGGCAAACAAACUAAUACCUGCCCCAAUUUGCUAAGAUUGCCUUUGCAAGACCCCAGAGCAAGAGGGCAAUUCUUGGCUGCCCUCUGCAUUAGUAUUUCUGCUCCCAUGUGGGAUGAAAGUGACUUUUCAUUGGCUUGACUCAUGGAGAUGGAGAGCAAGGGCCUUGAUCUCUGCCCAGGUGUCUGCAGUGCUAUCUGCAAUAGAGGGAAUGCCACUGAGAGAGAAGCACUGGGUAUGCAAUAGUACACCCUCACAUAGAUUAAGAAAGGCCACAUUGCAUCAAAAAAAGGGUUUGUUAAGCCCAGUAGCCUCUCUCUGAUGGUGGUCAAGCAGAUGUUUAGAAAGAACGGAAUCACAUUUUGUGUACAAGGAUCUUCCCCUUAUAUGCCCUCACAGCUUUUGCUAGUAAACAGUUUAGGCACUCUGUGGGUCUCAGGUUAUAUUUUAGGCACCAGUAGAUCCCUCAUCCCCACUUCUGUGCUGAAUUUUGCUAAAACCAUAUACACCCAGGGCUGCCACAGUAACCGCUGACUGUAGCUCCAUGAGCCAUUUCUGCUGUCACUGACUACUGGAAGGUGAAACUGAGGACUGUGUUCCUCCAUUUCAGGGAAUCCAAAAAGACCAAGUUUACAGGUUGAAGUAGCUAAUCAAGGAUGAGCCAAACAAAAGGUACUUGCUACUUAUCCUGUCAAUUUAUUACCUCUCCAUUCUGCCAGUGGACCUUUGCUGAGCACCCACAGUCUCAUGCUGAUGCCCAUACUCC
ensembl:lncRNA